rnacentral:lncRNA from 1 species
AUGUGGGCAUUAUGUCAGCAAGCUAAAACAUUUUCCCCCUGUGCAUUUAAUAUAUGUCUAUGUGAUCUGAGAGAGGACUCCAGGAUUCAGAGAGAAAUAGCUGAGGGUAAGGAGAAACAUCUUGGGAUGAAGCUUGUCCUUAUGGUGAUAGUUUAAUUACAGAUUUAAAAAUUAGAAGAAAAUUUCAUUGGAUUAAGUGUAUUGCUUUCAUAUGUAUAUUUUAAGAAAUUACCAUUGUAACUUGAUAAGAGGUGAUUUAUUUUAUGCAAACAUCAUCACAAAGCAAUGUGUAGAAGCUCAGCUAGAUUUAUUACUGUGCACGAGAGUAAAUACCUAUCUCAAUUUUUCUUUUUCUUUUCCAAUAUAGAGUUUGCUGAAUGUACAAUAAGAGUUUAUCACUUAGG